ACAAUUUGCUCAAGUUUUUUUUUUCCAAAACAGCUUUUCAAGAUAAGAAAUGUAAACGCACAAAACAGAACUGCAAAGUCCAAUCCAGCAUGAAAGAAAUCCUAUUACCCAGUAUGAACCUUCACCUAAGCUAUGCUCUGCAUACACUGCAAAACUUUGCCUCCUUAUCUUCAACUUCUCACUAACUUCUUUAUCUUUCCAUUGUCAGGUUUCAUACAAUAAUCAUAUUUCAUCAUGUCA
rnacentral:misc_RNA from 1 species